rnacentral:tRNA from 1 species
UAUAUAAUUAUAUAAACAUAUUAACUGUUUAUUAUAAUUUAAAUUUAAACAUAUCAUAUUGAUUGUUUAUUAAUGUAUA